rnacentral:rRNA from 1 species
AAGUAUAAACUACACGAAACUGCAUGAGCUAAUCAUUAUCGUAAUACCAUUAUGUAACAUAAUAAUAAUAUGAAUAAAGAUUAGGGGUGAUAGGCCUUUCAAAUGCAAGAUAUCUUGAUUCUUAUGAUAUGUAAUAGUACAAAGACAAAUUAAGAGUUAUAAGGCUUUUAAUAAAAAUAAAUUUUAAUUAAAUAUAAUAAGCGGGUUUAAUAACCUGCAGAUUAUAAAUUAUAACAUAAAUAGUGAGUGAAUUAUUUAAACUAAUAAGAUUCAACAAAUUUUAAAAUUUGAUAAUAAUGUUUUCAUUAGUAUUAAGAAGUUAUUGAUAGUGAAUUCGGCACUUUGCUUUCAACUGUUUACCAAAAACAUAGCCACGUGGAAAUACAUGUGGUAAGUUCUGCUCAAUGAUAUUUAAAUAGCCGCAGUACCCUGACUGUGCAAAGGUAGCGUAAUCAUUUGUCUCUUAAUUGGAGUCCCGUAUGAAAGAAUUAAUGAGGGCAAUCUUUACCAUUAAUAAAAUUAAAAAUUACUUAGUGGGUGCAAAUACCCAUAGUAUAACAAUAGACGAGAAGACCCUAGAAAUUUAUAUAGAUGUUUUGUUGGGGCAACAUAGUAGCAAGCAAAUCUACUAUAAGUAUAUGACACAUUAUAGGAAAGUUAAAUUACUCUAGGGAUAACAGCAUAAUCUAUAAAUGUUUGUGACCUCGAUGUUGGAUUAGGGAGUUGUUGUUUAGA